GGAGAGAUGGCAGAGUGGUCGAUUGCGGCGGUCUUGAAAACCGUUGAACUGAAAGGUUCCGGGGGUUCGAAUCCCUCUUUCUCCG
rnacentral:tRNA from 2 species